UAAUUUUAAUUUAUUAUUUUAUUUGGUUAUGAGUUAAUUUAUUUAUCUUUCUUCUUUAAUUAAAAUAAUAUAUAGUUUAGUACUUUGUAAGGAAAUACUUAAAUAUAAUGAUAGUUUAUUGUACUGUGAAGGUUUAUUAUUUUAUUAUAAAAGCAUAAAUUUGUUUAGUACCUUUUGUAUCAGGGUUUAUUUAUUAUGGGUUAAAUAUUUUAUCAUUUCCCGAAAUUAGAAGAGAUAAGAUUAGAUGUAAGUUUAUGUAGUAAAAUAAUUUAUUAUUUAAUUUUAGUAAUUAUAUGUUAUUCAGUUUUAAAUAUCUGGUUACUUAAGAAUUAAAUUUAAUUUAAAAAUCUUAUGCUAGUUAAGUAAUAAUUUUAUUUUCCUUUAAUUUAAGAUUUAAAUAUUGUUGGGGAUUAGCUUAACUAAUAGUUAUAUAAUUUACAAUUUUGUAAUAGAUUUAUAUGUAGGUUUAAAAAUAUCCAUCUUUAUUAUUUUGUUAUAAUUAGGUAAUAUUUAUUAUGUCUUUUUUUUAUGUAAAUUUAUUUUAAUAUUAAGUGUUAUAAUUUUAUUUUGACUUUAUAGUUAUUAUGAUAAAAUAAGUAGAUUAUUAAUUUAAAUUUAGGAACUCGGCAAGUUUUAUCCUCGCCUGUUUAACAAAAACAUGUCUUAUAGUUAAUUUAUUUUAAGUCUGACCUGCUCAAUGAAUGUUUUAAUUGCUAUAGUAUUUUAACUAUACAAAGGUAGCAUAAUAAUUUGUCUUUUAAUUGGAGGCUUGUAUGAAUGGUUGGACGAAGGAUAGUCUUUCUUUUUUUGAAAUUAAAGUUGAAUUUGUAAUUUUAGUAAAAAGACUAAAAUAUAGCUGUGGGACGAGAAGACCCUAUAGAAUUUUAGCAAAUAAUUAGAAAUACUAUUUUGGGAUUAAUAAAUAGUAUUUCUAAUUAUUUGUUUUUGUUGGGGUGAUAUUAGAAAUUUACUAACUUCUAUUAUAUACUUAGUCAUAGAUUAGUGUAUUAAGGAUCCUUUAUUAUGGAUUAAAAGAUUAAAUUACCUUAGGGAUAACAGCGUUAUUAUUCUGGAAAGUUCUUAUUGAUGGAAUAGUUUGCGACCUCGAUGUUGGAUUAAAGUUAGUUUUGGGUGUAGAAGCUUAAUAAACUAGGUCUGUUCGACCUUUAAAUCUUUACAUGAUCUGAGUUCAGACCGGCGUGAGCCAGGUUGGUUUCUAUCUACAAAAUUUUAGUAGUACAGUACGAAAGGACCUACUACUUUUAAUAAUUAAUAUUUGAAUGAUUCUUAUU
rnacentral:rRNA from 1 species